CGCGAUCUUAGUGCAUGUCGCCCAAAAAGUGCGUAGCGGUUUUGGGACAACGACAUGCAUAAAAACAAGGACCUAAAGCGCGUCGCAUGACAAGGCGACGCGCUUUAGUGCAUGUCGCCCAAAAGUGCGUAGCGGUUUUGCGG
rnacentral:ncRNA from 1 species